rnacentral:rRNA from 1 species
AUCUACGGCUAUGCCACCCUGAAUGUGCCUGAUCUCAUCUGAUCUCAGAAGCUAAGCAGGGUCUGGCCUGGUUAGUACUUGGAUGUGAGACCACCUAGGAAGACCAGGUGCUAGGUG